GGCGCAUAGCUCAGUGGUAGAGCACUUGUCUACCAUGUGAGAGGCCUUGGGUUCAAUCCCCAGCACCA
rnacentral:tRNA from 1 species